AUUUGCCUUUUAAUUGGAGGCUUGUAUGAACGGACACACGAAAACGCAACUUUCUUAUCGAGGAAAAUAAAAAUUAACCUUCAAGUGAAGAGACUUGAGUACCAUAAAAAGACGAAAAGACCCUAUGGAGCUUUACUUAAGUUAUUAAACCACAAAUAAAAAAAGCUUUUUUUACUAAAAAAGUUUAGUUGGGGCGACUAAGGAGCACACACCACCCUCCUACUGACAAAAGACUCUAAAUCUACAAAAGAUCCACAAACGUGAAUAAAAAUCCAGCUACCCUAGGGAUAACAGGCUAAUCCUCCUUAAGAGCUCAAAUUGACAGGAGGGCUUGGCACCUCGAUGUUGGCUUAAGAUCUCUACUAAGUGCAGCAGCUUAGGUAGUAGGUUUGUUCAACCUUUAAAAUCUU
rnacentral:rRNA from 1 species